rnacentral:rRNA from 1 species
GACGAACGCUGGCGGCGUGCCUAACACAUGCAAGUCGAGCGGAGACAGUGAGUAGCUUGCUAUGAGCUGUUUUAGCGGCGGACGGGUGAGUAACGCGUGAGCAACCUUUCCCAGACAGGGGAAUAACACACCGAAAGGUGUACUAAUACCGCAUAAGACCACGGGAUCACAUGGUUCUGGGGUAAAAGAUUUAUCGGUUUGGGGUGGGCUCGCGUCCGAUUAGGUAGUUGGUGAGGUAACGGCCCACCAAGCCGACGAUCGGUAGCCGACCUGAGAGGGUGAUCGGCCACAUUGGGACUGAGACACGGCCCAAACUCCUACGGGAGGCAGCAGUGGGGAAUAUUGGGCAAUGGAGGAAACUCUGACCCAGCAACGCCGCGUGGAGGAAGAAGGUUUUCGGAUCGUAAACUCCUGUCCUUGGAGACGAGUAGAAGACGGUAUCCAAGGAGGAAGCCCCGGCUAACUACGUG